UGGGCCAGCGUCCCCCCUGCAAGCACACCUGCGAUUCUCCCCAGGCGCUUGCAGACCCUUACACACUACCACAGGAUGUCCAUAUUGAAUUUUAGUGUUAUGUGUCAAUCAAUUAAUCAAAAUUUUAAUUUUCACAGUCUUGACCCAGGGGGCUAGUAGGAUGGGGGUAUGGGUGGGGUGGUGGCUCUACAGUGCAAUUAUAUUUUUAUUGGCCUAAAAGAGAGAACAAGCUCAGUGAAUUAAAAGAGGGUGGUAUCCAUCUGUGGUUGAAGAUGCUGCCUUUUUAUUUUGAUAUGUAGAAAGGAACCACAGAAAUUAUUACUAAAAAUCAAGAUUAGAUGUGCAGGCAUGGCAGUGCUCGCUCUUUCCCGGAGGUGUAUGUGGACCUGUGCCAAUUGGAGAUAUUUGAAGGGCAUACUGGUGAUAUUCGGUAUGCAGAUGGAGCCCUAUACUUGUGUGAUGUGUUUUUGAGAAGAGCUUGGUGAGGUUGGCUGGCAAUUUGAUGAUCUUUAGGGAGAGCAUCUCAAGGAAUCCUUGUCUGUCUGACACUUAACCUCACCAAUAGCCUAAGGCCAGUAAGGCUGAGACUCAGUGUGGCCCUGUGCCACACCACAUCAACUCUGUACAGCAAGAGAAAACUACAAAUACAAAAUAGUUCCAUAUCUUUCAAGGUGAGUCCUAUGCUACUUGCAGUAGCCUGGAGUGGUGAUGUCACAACAGAGUGUUUAUUCCAGUGACACUGGCCUCCCUGUACUCCAUGAAUCCCUGGUCAGCAGCUGGACAGGAGCUGCUUGGGUACAGCAUGCAAAGAGGCUGAUGGCAUGAGAGAUGACUCUCAAGCUCGCUCUUACAGAGCGAGGUGCUGCUUGGAGUGAAUCCAGCCUGACCACACCGCCCCUCCCAUCACCCAGCCACCACCCCCACCCACUACUAGCCUCCUGGGUCAAGGCUGGCUCAGCGUUUUCCUGCCUACCACUACUUAUUCACGUUGCUUCCUAUAUUGCAAGCCCAACAUCCGAGGCUUAAACAGAACUGACAGGCUUCUAUCCACAGGAGGGCUACAGAAACUGCUGCUAUUUAAAGAUGGCCACCGACCUCAGCCUGUCGUUGUCGCACCUGUUAGGCGGAACGCCCGACGAUGAGACGCGGCGCCGACCCCGCGUGACCUCACGAUGAGCGUCAGGGGGCAAAAUGGCAACCUUCUGCCACCUCUGCACAAAACAGUGCGGAGGUCAGGACAAGCGUCGUUUGCGACACGCCCAGAGCGGAAUGGUUCUCUCCACUAGGGGGAGACAAAGAGUAAGUCUCGGCAGACUGGAGCAGGAGAAGGGAAUUGGAAACAUAUGCUCAGCACUUUCUAACCCAAACCUGAAUCACAUCAAUCAGUCUCUCGCAGUUUGUAGGGGGGAGCCUUUGGGCAGUGAAAAUAGUGCAGGAAAUCACAAAGCUCAAAGACGAGCCCUUAAAUUAGAUACUAUGACCGGUUUGGCUAAAUUACAGGCUGUAUAUUUAGCAGAGGCCGUCCCAUAUUCUGAGCCAACCAACAGAUGAGCACAGCGGUCUAACCCGUUGUCUUGCUCAAAAUUUCCUUUUCAAAUGUUUCUGUUUAAGAUGUUCAAGAUGAGAUGUGGAAGUGUUUGACCCUCACGAGUAACUUGGUGAUAUUGCCAAGAGUGCUUUGAGAAUGCUGUACACUCUCUAAA